rnacentral:rRNA from 1 species
UAAUUGAAGAGUUUGAUCAUGGCUCAGAUUGAACGCUGGCGGCAGGCCUAACACAUGCAAGUCGAGCGGCAGCACAGAGAAACUUGUUUCUCGGGUGGCGAGCGGCGGACGGGUGAGUAAUGCCUGGGAAAUUGCCCUGAUGUGGGGGAUAACCAUUGGAAACGAUGGCUAAUACCGCAUGAUGCCUACGGGCCAAAGAGGGGGACCUUCGGGCCUCUCGCGUCAGGAUAUGCC